GCACUGCUGACGAAUCCCAAACAAGACGAAACAGCUGUCCAGUGC
rnacentral:hammerhead_ribozyme from 1 species